CCUCGGGCGCCGGUGCCUGCGAUUCCCGACACCAGCCCGGCUCGCACCGAACGGCGCCUCCGGGAUGGGGAGCAGAGCGCCGCACUGGCACCGUGGUCCUCGGGUUAGGGUUGGGCGGUGGAGAGCCCGCGACGUGGAAACGCUCCGGAUUCAGAAACGGCGCCCACCCCACCGCCGCUCGGCGGCGUCCGGGGUCCAAUUCGCUAGUCCCGGGCUGGAAGACCGGGUGGGAGCUGGGAGUGAGCCAAAGGACCGAGCCACGAGCACGUUCCUGCGCUCAUCCAGCCCUUCAUUCCGCGUGUUUUUGAUUGCCUGAUCCCGUGCUCCGCACUGUGGAGGUUCUCCAGGAAAGUGUCCCACCUUCCGAGGCAAAGUCGCCAGUGUCCAACACAAGCCAGUGUCAGAUGAGGACACUGAGACUCAGAGUAAUUGCCUUGCUCAAGGACACUCAGUCAGCCAGAGGCAAUGCCAGCUCUUCAAAUACAGAGUUCUUUCCAUGGCAGAGCUGUGAAACAGUGACUCAGAUCCACAGUGAAUGUUCUUUCUUUGUCUGAAGAGGUUGCUGCACCCAGAGUUGGAGAUACUUGCAUUUGAGAUAACCUGACGUCUCCUGUCCAGGCAGCCUCUUCAGCUUUCGAAAAACUCUCUCAGGGCAAGGGACGAGCCGAUUUCCAGGACAGUCAUUCUCAGCGAGUAGACUGAAAGGUGGGGAGACAGGAAGGAGGAGGGUGGGGGAAAUCGUGCAUCAGAAUUACUUUUCAAAAAUUCUGAUAAGCCUGAGCCUAUGCCAGGGUCUAAGGAGGGGUGGAGGGGGUGGGGAGGGAAAUGUACAUUGAAAUUUGGAAGAGAAUCUGAUAAGCACCCUAGAGGGAGAAUCUUUGAUGGAAGCUGAAGGUCUGCUGGAGGUCAGGACUGGGCUAUCUAUUUCCUGGUUACAGCCCAUUUAAUGCUGAUUACAAACUAGCCAUUCCUUAUCCAGGAACAAAGCUAUGAGGAUAAACAAAAUGUAAACCUAGACAAUGCGAACAGAUAAAAGAAGGGCCUUUCCACCCUCUCUUCACUCUAA